rnacentral:rRNA from 1 species
UGGGGAAUAUUGCACAAUGGAGGGAACUCUGAUGCAGCGACGCCGCGCGAGUGAUGAAGGAAUUCGUUUCGUAAAACUCUGUUCUAUGGGAAGAAAAGGACUGUACCAUAGGAGAAAGCUCCGGCUAAAUACGUGCCAGCAGCCACGGUAAUACGUAUGGAGCGAGCGUUGUCCGGAAUUAUUGGGCGUAAAGGGUGCGCAGGCGGCUUUACAAGUUGGAUGUGAAAUAUUGUGGCUCAACCACAAACGUGCAUCCAAAACUGCAAAGCUUGAGUUAAGGAGAGGUAAGUGGAAUUCCUGGUGUAGCGGUGGAAUGCGUAGAUAUCAGGAGGAAUACCGGUGGCGAAGGCGACUUACUGGACUUAAACUGACGCUCAGGCACGAAAGCGUGGGGAGCAAACAGG